rnacentral:rRNA from 1 species
UACGUAGGUCCCGAGCGUUGUCCGGAUUUAUUGGGCGUAAAGCGAGCGCAGGUGGUUUAUUAAGUCUGAUGUAAAAGGCAGUGGCUCAACCAUUGUAUGCAUUGGAAACUGGUAGACUUGAGUGCAGGAGAGGAGAGUGGAAUUCCAUGUGUAGCGGUGAAAUGCGUAGAUAUAUGGAGGAACACCAGUGGCGAAGGCGGCUUCCUGGUCUGCAACUGACACUGAGGCGCGAAAGCGUGGGGAGCAAACAGG